rnacentral:rRNA from 1 species
AGUGAACGCUGGCGGUAUGCCUAACACAUGCAAGUCGAACGGCAGCACAGUAAGAGCUUGCUCUUACGGGUGGCGAGUGGCGGACGGGUGAGGAAUACAUCGGAAUCUACUUUUUCGGGGGGGAUAACGUAGGGAAACUUACGCUAAUACCGCAUACGACCUACGGGUGAAAGCAGGGGAUCUUCGGACCUUGCGCGAUUGAAUGAGCCGAUGUCGGAUUAGCUAGUUGGCGGGGUAAAGGCCCACCACGGCGACGAUCCGAAGCUGGUCUGAGAGGAUGAUCCGCCACACUGGAACUGAGACACGGUCCAGACUCCUACGGUAGGCAGCAGUGGGGAAUAUUGGACAAUGGGCGAAAGCCUGAUCCAGCCAUACCGCGUGGGUGAAGAAGGCCUUCGGGUUGUAAAGCCCUGUUGUUGGGAGAGAAAAGCAGCAGGUUAAUACCCCGCUGUUCUGACGGUACCCGGAGAAUAAGCACCGGCUAACUUCGUG